UGAGGCAGGAGAAUUGCUUGAACCCAGGAGGUGGAGGUUGCAGUGAGCCGAGAUCAUGCCACUGCACUCCAGCCUGGGUGACAGAGCGAGACUCCAUCUC
rnacentral:miRNA from 1 species